GACCUCUCAGGGUCACGCCUGGAGAGUUUCCAGUCCUCUACCAGUCACGACUACAGGAGGGAGAGUCAGGCAGAGGCAGACUCAUUUCAUUCCUAGCUUGGGCUGUGGCUAGUGAGUGGAAGGCAAUCUGCUACAAGU